rnacentral:rRNA from 1 species
GACGAACGCUGGCGGCGUGCUUAACACAUGCAAGUCGAGCGGUAAGGCUCCUUCGGGAGUACACGAGCGGCGAACGGGUGAGUAACACGUGAGUAAUCUGCCCUUCACUUCGGGAUAAGCCUCGGAAACGAGGUCUAAUACCGGAUACGACCGCCUCCUGCAUGGGAUGGUGGUGGAAAGUUUUUUCGGUGGAGGAUGUGCUCGCGGCCUAUCAGCGUGUUGGUGGGGUAAUGGCCUGCCAAGGCUUCGACGGGUAGCCGGCCUGAGAGUGUGACCGGACACACUGGGACUGAGACACGGCCCAGACUCCUACGGGAGGCAGCAGUGGGGAAUAUUGCGCAAUGGGCGGAAGCCUGACGCAGCGACGCCGCGUGGGGGAUGACGGCCUUCGGGUUGUAAACCUCUUUCGACCUCGACGAAGAGUGAUUGACGGUAAGGGUGGAAGAAGCACCGGCCAACUACGUGCCAGCAGCCGCAGUAAAAC